GACGAACGCUGGCGGCGUGCUUAACACAUGCAAGUCGAACGAAGUGGCGAACGGGUGAGUAACGCGUAAUCAACCUGCCCUUCAGGGGGGGACAACAGUUGGAAACGACUGCUAAUACCGCAUACUGAAUGAGGGGUUUGCGGCUGAUUAGCUAGUUGGAGGGGUAACGGCCCACCAAGGCGAUGAUCAGUAGCCGGUCUGAGAGGAUGAACGGCCAAAACGGGACUGAGACACGGCCCAAACUCCUUCGGGAGGCAGCAGUGGGGAAACUUUCGCAAUGGACGAAAGUCUGACGGAGCAAAGCCGCGGGAGUGAUGGAGGCCUUCGGGUUGUAAAACUAUGUUAAUCGGGACGCGGUACCGGCAUAGAAAGCCACGGCUAACUACGUGCCAGCAGCCGCGGUAAUUC
rnacentral:rRNA from 1 species